GAUGAACGCUGGCGGCGUGCCUAAUACAUGCAAGUCGAGCGAACAGAUGAAGAGCUUGCUCCUCUGACGUUAGCGGCGGACGGGUGAGUAACACGUGGAUAACCUACCUAUAAGACUGGGAUAACUUCGGGAAACCGGAGCUAAUACCGGAUAAUAUAUUGAACCGCAUGGUUCAAUAAUGAAAUACGGUUUUUCUGUCACUUAUAGAUGGAUCCGCGCCGCAUUAGCUAGUUGGUAAGGUAACGGCUUACCAAGGCAACGAUGCGUAGCCGACCUGAGAGGGUGAUAGGCCACACUGGAACUGAGACACGGUCCAGACUCCUACGGGAGGCAGCAGUAGGGAAUCUUCCGCAAAGGGCGAAAGCCUGACGGAGCAACGCCGCGUGAGUGAUGAAGGUCUUCGGAUAGUAAAACUCUGUUAUUAGGGAAGAACAAAUGUGUAAGUAAAUAUGCACGUCUUGACGGUACCUAAUCAGAAAGCCACGGCUAACUACGUG
rnacentral:rRNA from 1 species